rnacentral:tRNA from 1 species
GGAGAGGUGGCCGAGUCGGCCUAAGGCGCUCGUUUGCUAAACGAGUGUAGGGCCAAAAGCUCUACCGAGGGUUCGAAUCCCUCCCUCUCCGCCA